UCCCGUACUCUAUCUCUAUCAUUCAUAGUCGCUGAUUAAGCUUCCGUGUAUUGCUUAUUUCAAGUCUUAAUUUUCUUUUAGUUUUGUUUAGGGUGCUGUUUGAGUGAUGCCAAAUUGUCUUAACUUGUUCAUGAGCGCCUUCAAUGUCGAUUAAGCUUUUAUCUUUAACAUUUUCAAGCAAAAUCCUCAAAUGGGUUAAUUUAACUGCCCGUAUAUCCUCACUUUCGUCUGCUAAUGCACUGCAAGUUACUGAUUAUGAAGCAAAGAUUCAAUCUUUGAGAAAUAAGCCAUACCCGCAUAAUCUUAUCUGGGUUUUGGAUAGCACUGGCGACUUGAACUCUUCCGUGAAGAUAUUUAAAUAGCUAUUUCUCCAAAAAAGGUUUCAACACAGCUGAUACUUAUGGUAUGACAAUUUUGUAGUUUAGGAGAAUGAACAAGAAAGGGUGUAGUCCUAAUAGUAGAAGUUUUGAGAUAAUAAUUAUAAAAGGUCUUAUUUUGAGCAAUCGAGUGGAUGAUUCGGUUAUCAUUUUAGGCGAGAUUUUAUGCUGGAUUUGAGCUGAAAUUAAGUUUCUAUACCUGUAUAAUACCACUGUUUUGUAGGGAAAAAAAACUAGGGGAGGGAAUCUGACUGUUAAGGUUGAUUAGAGCUUCAAAUCCUUAGCCAGAUGGGUUGAUUUAUAGGGAGUUAAUUAGAUGCACGUGUGUGACCCAUACUUUAGAUGAUGCGAAUUAUCUUCUUGAAGAGAUGAUGGAAAACGAUAGAACACCUGCUGUUGAUGUGCUUGUUGAUCUAGUAGUAGGACUUUGUGCUAUGCUUGAAGGCUGCUGCAAUGCUGGUAAAGCUUUUUUGGCAAAAGGUAUCCCGGACAAAAGGGAUGAGGGAAACAUAACUGAUUGUGAUUCUUGGAAUAUUCUAAUCAUACGACUUUAUGAGAAUAUGGAAACAAGGAAAGCUGAUCAACUUCUUUGUAGAAUGUUUAUAUUUUCCAUAGUUCUUGACUCUGCGACAUACUCAGCUCUUGUUGUAGCCAACUGUCGAUCGAGAAAGUAUGAGGAUGCUCUGCAGGUGUUCCAUCGGGUUUGUAUCGAAAAUUGGGUUCUGGAUUCUAUAUCUUAUUAGGACUUAUGGAGAGCCUUUGCCAGGCAGGAAAGAUUUGGAGGCUGCUGAAGUAUUUCAUUACAUGUCGAAGAACAGAUGCUUCCUCAUUCCUUCUUCUUACAAUAUGCUGAUUGGUGGCAUGUGUAAUAAAGCAAUUAGGCUACAGAGUUUUGCUUACAGUUCUAAUACUCCUUACACUACUCUAACUUACAUGGCAAUCAUGCAUGGAUUAUCAAAAUUAAAAAUGGCUAAAGGACUAAUGGUAAUUCUCUCACAAAUGUUGGUGGACGGUUGUGCUGUUGAUGUGGAAGUAUAUUGCAUCCUCAUACACAGCAUGAGUGCACAAAAUUGAACUAAGGAUUCUGCUUUCUUUUUCAAUGUGAUGGUUAAUGAGGGUUUAGUGCCUGACCGAGAAACAAUGCAUACUCUUCCAUGUUGUUUGGCUAGCUAAUCUCACUUGCACAUGGUUUUAAGUGGGAUUGAUAAACUAGUUUCUAAUAGUGAUAUUUUGGAUUCAUCUAUGUAUAACAUACUAAUCAACAACCUCCAGAAAGAGGGUCUAAAAAGUGAGGCUUCCCGAUUAUUGGAUCUGAUGUUAGAAAAAGGUUGGGUACCAGAUGCUACAACACACGGACUGUUGGUUGGGUCUUUUAUCAAAAGAGAUACAGGUGGUGAAACAUUUGCAUAUGAGGAUUCCAUGCAAGAUAGUGUUAGCAACAUUCUCGCUGAGGGAAUGGGAAAUACAUGACAAGUUCCCAUAGUUGACAAUGAAACUGUAAUUAGAAAGUUUCUAAAUUAUCCUUGUGGAAAACUCGCCAUGAUGGGAUAUAUCAAGUAGUGCCCUAAUCAGUUUGGAUUGGCGUCAACUUGUCCAUCAGACUAUUUGGAAUUGUAUUUUAAGGUAGCAUGAAGAGGGCAGAAAGAUUAUAAUCAGCAAAGGAUUGAGGUCCAAGGGAAGACUGGAAUCGCAACCUUCAGGCCAGAGAUUGUUGACCAUUAUUUAGCAGCUGAAGUUCAUUCUUUGACAGGGUUAAAGAUGCAAGUGAUAAGGAAAUUCUAGUGGACCUGUUGUUCUGGCCGACCCACAAAUAUAAUGUUAAUAUCUGGAGAUAGAGAUGUCUCCAAUGCUUUCCAUUAAUUGAGGAUGAGAAGAUACAACAUUCGGCUUGCUCAGCUGCAGAAUGCCUUGGCUCUUCUCCUUGCAGUCAUCAAGAUCAUAUGGCUCUGGACAAGUCUUCUGGCUAGAGGCCUUUCAUUAAUGACUAAAAUUGGUAACAAAUUUCAAUCCCUAAUGAUAUGCCUUUUGCACAUGUACAAAUUCCCUAAUUGGGAAAUCCUAAAGAGAAAUUCAGUAAUAGUGGCCUAGUUGAUAUUCUGGAAGAUCAAGAAACCUGUAAAUUAUCACCACCCUGGUACUAAUUAUAAUCCCAAGAGUUCUGUUAUUGGCCUUGCCCGGAUGGAUUUGCUCAUUUUAGCCUUGCUCAGAAUGGUUAUAGAAAUCAUUAUCCACCAGCCUUUAGUGCCAAACAAUCACCCUAAUCAUCUUCAUAGUUCUGUCCAAAAAGGCAGUGAGGUCACCAAUUUUGAUCCUAUUAGCAUGAAUCUGAAGCCGGCAUUGUUGAGUCAGUCGCAAAAUGGACAUAUAGAGCAUCAGAAGCUAUCGUUUUCUUCACCAGUGAACUUGAUUAAUAUGUCUAGUUGUGUCAUAUGGGGGACGUCACGAUGUCCAAAACCUUAGAGGUAUUGUGUUACUAACGUUUAACUCCUUGAAAGUUGAAAAGAUACUGUCAAUUGAAAGUAAUAUAAUCUAUUACAUUCGAUAUGGAUAUCCAAAGCAUCAGAAUACUGACAUUAAAAAGGCCUUGGAAAUUGCCGUUGAUCUAUAGAUGGUAGUGAAGCAGAAAAUUGGAGCUAUGAACUUGUAUGUUGGUAAGAAGGAGAAACUUUGGAAAUGUGUGAACUCUAUUGCUGGUAAUCCUAUGCAAAUCUCAGAAAUGACAUGGGAAAGAAUCAAAAAGUUUCUGGUGUCUCUUAAAGGGACAUUUGCAAUAAUGGCUUCUCAACGCAGGUAUGAAGCUGGUACUAUUUUGAAGAAUAUGUGCUUGACAGAGCUUACAUUAGGUGACAUACUUCAGAUCUUGAACAUGUUAAUUACCAUAAAGAAAUGAAUUAUUCAUAAUCAAGCAGGAUGGCAGCCCAUCAUCAUCGCUGUUGAAGAGCGCAGCCCUGAAUUGGGCACGAUAUCUGGUUCAUAAAGGUUUGACUGAGCUAUCUGUGGUAAGGGAAAGGGGCCUCUUGAUAGUUUGAAACAAACUGAGUGUAAAUUGAUAGAUGAUUUUUUGCAAUAAGGUUGGUAAACAGUAAGUCUCCUUGUGCCAAGACUCAUUCUGUAGAUUUACUAGUGAUGAAAGUUGUUACACAUGAUGGCUACUGUCUAGAUUUUUUAUUAGAGAUGAUGUUUCAAGUGAAAGUUUGCUAGAUGUGUCAAAGAGUAUACAAUGCAAGGCUCUGCGGUACAAGAAAUUGAUCAUCUGUUGCAUCUUCUGGAUUCUAUCGAAAAUUGCAAGGAUGAUCGUGCUGUUUCCAAAUUUCAAUGAAACAUAUUUAUGCAGAAAAAUUUCCUACCUCUCAUAUAGUUCAUGGUGCCAUAAGAACUCUAAAUGUAAGGCCUGAUUUAAAAGUGGCAUUGAAGAGGCAAGAGUUUGGGUAGUUUGCAGAGAAGCAGAUGACACAAAUUACAGAAAUUUAUGAAAAAUACAUCCAACUGUAAUUAGAUAAACAUAAAAUAUGUUCUGCUGAAAGCUACCCGUUCUCCUAUGAUCACAUCAUACUAUGAAGACAUCAAGAUGAGCAUGUGUCGAAUCAACGGGUCUUUGUUCUUAUUAUUUUCGGGUAUUCUCAGAAUAAGCAGAUUUGUAAAUUCAUCCCUCUGCAGCAUCAGUUUAGCAGUUUGUCACUGUAUUUGCUGUACUUCUUUGAAAGCUGUAUGGUCCUUAGAGCUCGUAAAACCAUUAGUCCCUUGGCUAUAAUCCUUAUAUUUAGGUCUCCUGUGUGCAAACUUUGAUAGAAAAAUCAAGUGUUUCUUAUUUUUGCUCCCA